UAAUUCAACAAUUUCAUCUCCCUACCCUGC
rnacentral:piRNA from 1 species